UCCGGUUUGUCACCGGCAGUCAUCUUAGAGAGCCCACCAUUACAUGCUGGCAACUAAGAUCAAGGGUUGCGCUCGUUGCGGGACUUAACCCAACAUCUCACGACACGAGCUGACGACAACCAUGCACCACCUGUCUCCUCUGUCCCGAAGGCCGACUCUAUCUCUAGAGCUUUCAAAGGGAUGUCAAGACCUGGUAAGGUUCUUCGCGUUGCUUCGAAUUAAACCACAUACUCCACUGCUUGUGCGGGUCCCCGUCAAUUCCUUUGAGUUUCAGUCUUGCGACCGUACUCCCCAGGCGGAAUGCUUAAUGUGUUAACUUCGGCACCAAGGGCAUCGAAACCCCUAACACCUAGCAUUCAUCGUUUACGGCGUGGACUAC
rnacentral:misc_RNA from 1 species